UAUGGUCACAUCACGUUGAAACAACGGUUCCCGUACGGUCAACGAAGUUAAGCAACGUCGAGCCUGAACAGUACGUAGAUGGAUAACCGAUUAGGAAUACCUGGUAUUGUAAU